CGACAGAAAUGUGGUGUUGAGACAGAACCCUGGACGGGAUACCUGACUGGACCCAGUCACAGAUGCCACAUAAACUUAAGAUUCUGCCAGGCAGGUGCGGAGAUCUGCUCCUCUUGUCGCCACCAAGACAAGCCUCCUAAUUUGCUUUCAGCUGAAUGACAUGGUCAAGAUGGAUGAUCUCCGGGGCAACAGAACCAUAUGAUUGGAGAUUCCAGCCCUGGCCAAAGCUUCGGGGGAGAGAGUGAGACCACAAGCAAGUAGAGCAGCAGCCUGAGAA